rnacentral:rRNA from 1 species
GACGAACGCUGGCGGCGUGCUUAACACAUGCAAGUCGAACGGAAAGGCCCUGCUUUUGUGGGGUGCUCGAGUGGCGAACGGGUGAGUAACACGUGAGUAACCUGCCCUUGACUUUGGGAUAACUUCAGGAAACUGGGGCUAAUACCGGAUAGGAGCUCCUGCUGCAUGGUGGGGGUUGGAAAGUUUCGGCGGUUGGGUAUGGACUCGCGGCUUAUCAGCUUGUUGGUGGGGUAGUUGCUUACCAAGGCUUUGACGGGUAGCCGGCCUGAGAGGGUGACCGGCGACAUUGGGACUGAGAUACGGCCCAGACUCCUACGGGAGGCAGCAGUGGGGAAUAUUGCACAAUGGGCGGAAGCCUGAUGAAGCAACGCCGCGUGCGGGAUGACGGCCUUCGGGUUGUAAAAAGCUUUCGCCUGUGACGAAGCGUGAGUGACGGUAAUGGGUAAAGAAGCACCGGCUAACUACGUG